rnacentral:rRNA from 1 species
GGGGAAUAUUGCGCAAUGGGGGCAACCCUGACGCAGCCAUGCCGCGUGAAUGAAGAAGGCCUUCGGGUUGUAAAGUUCUUUCGGUAUUGAGGAAGGUUGUUGUGUUAAUAGCACGACAAAUUGACGUUAAAUACAGAAGAAGCACCGGCUAACUCCGUGCCAGCAGCCGCGGUAAUACGGAGGGUGCGAGCGUUAAUCGGAAUAACUGGGCGUAAAGGGCACGCAGGCGGACUUUUAAGUGAGGUGUGAAAUCCCCGGGCUUAACCUGGGAAUUGCAUUUCAGACUGGGAGUCUAGAGUACUUUAGGGAGGGGUAGAAUUCCACGUGUAGCGGUGAAAUGCGUAGAGAUGUGGAGGAAUACCGAAGGCGAAGGCAGCCCCUUGGGAAUGUACUGACGCUCAUGUGCGAAAGCGUGGGGAGCAAACAGGAUUAGAUACCCUGGUAGUCCACGCUGUAAACGCUGUCGAUUUGGGGAUUGGGCCUUGAGCUUGGUGCCCGAAGCUAACGUGAUAAAUCGACCGCCUGGGGAGUACGGCCGCAAGGUUA